rnacentral:rRNA from 1 species
AUCUAAUCUGCUCAAUGAAUUUAAUUAAAUAGCUGCAGUAUCCUGACUGUACAAAGGUAGCAUAAUCAAUUGUCUUAUUAUUUAAGUCUAGAAUGAAAGAUUGAAUGAAAUAAAAUCUGUCUCAAUUUAAUUAAAAUUUAAAUUUUAUUUUAAGUAAAAAUUCUUAAAUAUAUUUAAAAGACGAGAAGACCCUAUAGAAUUUUAUAAUAUUUAUAUUAAUUUAUAAAUAAAUUUAUAUAAAUUAAUAUAAAUUUAUUUUAUUGGGGUGAUGUAAAAAUUUAAUAAAUUUUUUAAAUAAAUUUAUAACAUAAUUAUUGAAAAAUUUUUAUCCAAUAAUAUUGAAAUUAAAAUAAAUUACCUUAGGGAUAACAGCGUUAAAUUUUUAGAGAGUUCAUAUUGAUAAAAAUUAUUGCGACCUCGAUGUUGAAUUAAAAUUUAUUAUUAUUGAAGAAAAUAAUAUAUUAAG